GAGGAGAACAGAGAGGAAAUAACCAGAGGCCGACUCCCUGGUGGCAGCCGCACCCCCACUCCGGCACCGGGCUUCUAGCGGCCUGGGGAGAGCUGACCUGGCGGUUCAGGAAGUUUGUGUAGACUUGACACGGGGGGUCAUGGAGGUGCCUGGCAUGCAGUCAAGGGCCCCAUGUCUUCGCAGGGCUAAGCGGGCAGAAGGAAGAGCUCACGUGUGGAAGAGAUGCUGCUGAGAGAGGCCCCCCAUCCCUACCAGAGCAGGUAGGAGACGGGGAGGAUGAAGGGAGGGCGUUUCUGGGCGCCAGGUCGGCACAUCUGAGCAGCUGAAGACAGCGCGGAGGAGGAGGGCAGCGACUGUCUGGAAGUCCAAGGAUCCUGUUUGCUCCUGAGUGCCAGAGGGUGCAUGCCAGGGCCUGGAGCCCUACCCACCAGGAGCAGAGCACAGCCAGAAAGCCCGCAUUAAUAACUCCUUUGAAAUAAAAACAUGCUCUUCAGGGCAA